rnacentral:rRNA from 1 species
AUGCGUUGGGGCUUGACCGUAGUGUAUGAAUAACCAUCGGCUAACUCCGUGCCAGCAGCCGCGGUAAUACGGAGGAUGCAAGCGUUAUCCGGAUUCAUUGGGUUUAAAGGGUGCGUAGGCGGCUUUUUAAGUCAGUGGUGAAAUCCUGCCGCUUAACGGUAGAAUUGCCAUUGAUACUGAAGAGCUUGAGUCCAGUUGAGGUAAGCGGAAUGUGUAGUGUAGCGGUGAAAUGCUUAGAUAUUACACAGAACACCAAUUGCGAAGGCAGCUUACUAAACUGGCACUGACGCUGAUGCGCGAAAGCGUGGGGAGCGAACAGGAUUAGAUACCCUGGUAGUCCACGCCGUAAA